rnacentral:rRNA from 1 species
UGCAAGUCGAACGGUGAAGCCCAGCUUGCUGGGUGGAUCAGUGGCGAACGGGUGAGUAACACGUGAGCAACCUGCCCUCCACUUCGGGAUAAGCCUUGGAAACGGGGUCUAAUACCGGAUAUGAGCACUCAUCGCAUGGUGGGUGUUGGAAAGUUUUUCGGUGGGGGAUGGGCUCGCGGCCUAUCAGCUUGUUGGUGGGGUGAUGGCCUACCAAGGCGUCGACGGGUAGCCGGCCUGAGAGGGCGACCGGCCACACUGGGACUGAGACACGGCCCAGACUCCUACGGGAGGCAGCAGUGGGGAAUAUUGCACAAUGGGCGCAAGCCUGAUGCAGCGACGCCGCGUGAGGGAUGACGGCCUUCGGGUUGUAAACCUCUUUCAGCAGGGAAGAAGCGCAAGUGACGGUACCUGCAGAAGAAGCGCCGGCUAACUACGUGCCAGCAGCCGCGGUAAUACGUAGGGCGCAAGCGUUGUCCGGAAUUAUUGGGCGUAAAGAGCUCGUAGGCGGUCUGUCGCGUCUGGUGUGAAAUCCCGAGGCUCAACCUCGGGCUUGCAUCGGGUACGGGCAGACUAGAGUGCGGUAGGGGAGACUGGAAUUCCUGGUGUAGCGGUGGAAUGCGCAGAUAUCAGGAGGAACACCGAUGGCGAAGGCAGGUCUCUGGGCCGCAACUGACGCUGAGGAGCGAAAGCAUGGGGAGCGAACAGGAUUAGAUACCCUGGUAGUCCAUGCCGUAAACGUUGGGCACUAGGUGUGGGGCUCAUUCCACGAGUUCCGUGCCGCAGCUAACGCAUUAAGUGCCCCGCCUGGGGAGUACGGCCGCAAGGCUAAAACUCAAAGGAAUUGACGGGGGCCCGCACAAGCGGCGGAGCAUGCGGAUUAAUUCGAUGCAACGCGAAGAACCUUACCAAGGCUUGACAUGUACGAGAACACGCUAGAGAUAGCGGACUCUUUGGACACUCGUAUACAGGUGGUGCAUGGUUGUCGUCAGCUCGUGUCGUGAGAUGUUGGGUUAAGUCCCGCAACGAGCGCAACCCUCGUCCUAUGUUGCCAGC